UUAGUUGGGUUUGCUGAGGUUAUAAUGGGGCAUCUGUGCAUUCAGUAAGGAGGGGAAAGAGCAAACCCUUCCUUCUGGCAGGCACCUCAAACUGUCUUUGCAUGUUCACUUCAAUUUGCAGCAAUGGGAGUAAACUAAGGACAAAAGAAGAAAAUGGGAGGAGGAGGAAAGAAAAUCAUUUUAAAAGCAGCUGGAAAAUUCAGAUAAAGGGGGAUUACCUGGGACAAUCCCUGCGUAAUUGAGACAAUUGGCGGUAUGGCGCAGCUUUUGACAUUUACUUUCCUCAAGACAGUUAAAUGAACAGCUGUCUCUUCCUGUUGGUCCAAGCUAAACCUGGUCACAAACUAAUCAUACUUUGCACACCUAUGCAUGUUUGUUCACAAGGAAGCCCAAGUGUCAGCCUUGGAGAGAAACCAAGAAAUGCAGCCCAGAGGCAAAAAUUCUUAAUAGAAUACUCAGCACAAUACAACUCCCAAGGUGCCUGGAUGGCUUCAUAGAACACAGAAAGAAGUACAACAGUAGAGACUGCAUUUUGGACUUUCUGCAUAUCAAGCAUGUACUCUAUCACUAAGAUAUGCUCCCUCUCCAAACUGCAGGAGUGAUGCACACCAGUGCUUCAGAGGCACAGGAGGCAAAACACCAGCAGCAGCAGCAGCAGCAGCAGCAGCAACAACAACAACAACAACAACAACAACAACACAAAGGGGAGAUGAGUGGCAGUCAGGACUGGAGAUAAAUGGAGUACACAGCCUGACCUGUGACAAUCUUGUGGAAAAACUGGAUGGGACAUGACAAAUAUAUCUUUCAACAAACCUUUCUGCUGAAGGAGCUGGAGAAAUGGGGAGGCCAACAGCUCAUCAUUACCUUAUGAAAAACAAGACCUGCUUGAAAUAGAAAUGUUUCUGUCAAGAAACCCUUUGGGUCCAUUCCAUCUGUCAACACAAAGUACAGUACAGAGAGAUAUGUACAGUGAAUACUGGCCAGAGGCACCUGUGUGUGUUACGAGUUCACCAUGCAUAGAGUCUAUCAUGCGCUCUUAAAUAGGCCAUUAUUCUUCAUUUUUAUUGAAUGCCUUUCCCCCAUAGCCUCUGGGUGAAGACACUGAUGUUGUUAUGCUGAAGUUUUUACAUAACUUGUGACUACAGUAGAGUCUCGCUUAUCCAACGUAAACGGGCCGGCAGAACGUUGGAUAAGCGAAUAUGUUGGAUAAUAAGGAGAGAUUAAGGAAAAGCCUAUUAAACAUCAAAUUACGUUAUGAUUUUACAAAUUAAGCACCAAAACAUCAUGUUAUACAACAAAUUUGACAGAAAAAGCAGUUCAAUACACAGCAAUGCUAUGUAGUAAUUACUGCAUUUAUGAAUUUAGCAACAAAACAUCAUGUUAUACAACAAAUUUGACAGAAAAAGCAGUUCAAUACACAGCAAUACUAUGUAGUAAUUACUGUAUUUACGAAUUUAGCAACAAAAUAUCACGAUGUAUUGAAAACAUUGAAUACAAAAAUGCGUUGGAUAAUCCAGAACGUUGGAUAAGCGAGUGUUGGAUAAGUGAGACUCUACUGUAUAUAUAGCCCCAAUUUUUACAGCAGAUAUUCCUUAUUGCAAAUUUUAAAACUUUUCUAAUGUGAGCUGAUUUAAAAC